GACGAACGCUGGCGGCGUGCUUAACACAUGCAAGUCGAACGGUGAACCUCUUCGGAGGGGAUCAGUGGCGAACGGGUGAGUAACACGUGGGCAACCUGCCCCCGGCUCUGGGAUAACUCCAAGAAAUUGGGGCUAAUACCGGAUGUUCACCGCUUCCCGCAUGGGUGGUGGUGGAAAGGGUUUCCGGCUGGGGAUGGGCCCGCGGCCUAUCAGCUUGUUGGUGGGGUAGUGGCCUACCAAGGCGACGACGGGUAGCCGGCCUGAGAGGGUGACCGGCCACACUGGGACUGAGACACGGCCCAGACUCCUACGGGAGGCAGCAGUGGGGAAUAUUGCGCAAUGGGCGGAAGCCUGACGCAGCGACGCCGCGUGGGGGAUGACGGCCUUUGGGUUGUAAACCUCUUUCAGCAGGGACGAAGCGCAAGUGACGGUACCUGCAGAAGAAGCACCGGCCAACUACGUG
rnacentral:rRNA from 1 species